rnacentral:tRNA from 1 species
UCCCUGAUGGUUCAGUGGUUAGGACUCUGUAUUUUACUGCUGAGGGCCCAGGUUCAAUCCCUGGUUGGGGAA